GGGCCCGCACAAGCGGUGGAGCAUGUGGUUUAAUUCGAUGCAACGCGAAGAACCUUACCUACCCUUGACAUACAGCGAACCUUUCAGAGAUGAGAGGGUGCCUUCGGGAGCGCUGAUACAGGUGCUGCAUGGCUGUCGUCAGCUCGUGUCGUGAGAUGUUGGGUUAAGUCCCGUAACGAGCGCAACCCUUAUUCUUAGUUGCCAGCACGUAAUGGUGGGGACUCUAAGGAGACUGCCGGUGACAAACCGGAGGAAGGCGGGGACGACGUCAAGUCAUCAUGGCCCUUACGGGUAGGGCUACACACGUGCUACAAUGGUCGGUACAGAGGGCUGCGAAGGGGUGACCUGGAGCAAAUCUUUCAAAGCCGGUCGUAGUCCGGAUUGGAGUCUGCAACUCGACUCCAUG
rnacentral:rRNA from 1 species